CCGAGUUAGGGUCCUCUGAGCCCGAACCUCCCAACCCUUUGUCUACUCAACCUCUUGUUGCUUCGGCGAGCCCGUCCUUUACCGGACCGCCGGAGGACCGCCGCCCUCGGCGUCCUCUGGCCCGUGCCCGUCGGUGGCCAACCUUUAAAACUCUUUGUUUAAAUCGUGUCGUUUGUCUGAAUUCAAACCAAAAAUAACGCA
rnacentral:misc_RNA from 1 species